rnacentral:rRNA from 1 species
AAGUGACAGCUGUCGAAAGAUGGUUUCUUCGGACACUUUUCAAGGUGCUGCAUGGUUGUCGUCAGCUCGUGCCGUGAGGUGUCGGGUUAAGCCCCAUAACGAGCGCAACCCCUAUCAGUAGUUACCAGCACGUAGCGGUGGGGACUCUACUGAGACUGCCGGUGUAAACCGUGAGGAGGGUGGGGAUGACGUCAAAUCAGCACGGCCCUUACAGUCCAGGGCUACACACGUGUUACAAUGGCCGGUACAAAGGGCAGCUACUCCGCGAGGAGAUGCGAAUCUUAAAAGCCGGUCUCAGUUCGGAUCGAAGUCUGCAACCCGACUUCGUGAAGCUGGAUUCGCUAGUAAUCGCGCAUCAGCCAUGGCGCGGUGAAUACGUUCCCGGGCCUU